rnacentral:rRNA from 1 species
UGGCGGACGGGUGAGUAAUGUCUGGGAAACUGCCUGAUGGAGGGGGAUAACUACUGGAAACGGUAGCUAAUACCGCAUAACGUCGCAAGACCAAAGAGGGGGACCUUCGGGCCUCUUGCCAUCGGAUGUGCCCAGAUGGGAUUAGCUAGUAGGUGGGGUAACGGCUCACCUAGGCGACGAUCCCUAGCUGGUCUGAGAGGAUGACCAGCCACAUUGGAACUGAGACACGGUCCAG